UACGGAGGGUGCGAGCGUUGUCCGGAAUCAUUGGGCGUAAAGGGCGCGUAGGCGGCGGGACAAGCGUGCGGUGAAAGCCUGGGGCUCAACCCCGGGUCGGCCGUGCGAACUGUUUUGCUUGAGCACUGUAGAGGCAGGCGGAAUUCCGGGUGUAGCGGUGGAAUGCGUAGAGAUCCGGAAGAACACCGGUGGCGAAGGCGGCCUGCUGGGCAGUAGCUGACACUGAGGGACGAAAGCUAGGGGAGCGAAUGGG
rnacentral:rRNA from 1 species